rnacentral:rRNA from 1 species
AGAGUGAACGCUGGCGGUAGGCCUAACACAUGCAAGUCGAACGGCAGCACGGUAAGAGCUUGCUCUUAUGGGUGGCGAGUGGCGGACGGGUGAGGAAUACAUCGGAAUCUACCUUUUGGUGGGGGAUAACGUAGGGAAACUUACGCUAAUACCGCAUACGCCCUUCGGGGGAAAGCCGGGGACCAGCAAUGGCCUGGUGCUGAUAGAUGAGCCGAUGUCGGAUUAGCUAGUUGGUGAGGUAAUGGCUCACCAAGGCGACGAUCCGUAGCUGGUCUGAGAGGAUGAUCAGCCACACUGGAACUGAGACACGGUCCAGACUCCGUACGGGAGCAGCAGGUGGGGAAUAUGGACAAGUGGGGCGCAAGCCUGAUCCAGCCAUACCCGG